ensembl:lncRNA
UUGCCUAAAAUUAAUUUAAGAAAGAAAACAACAUUAAUAUAUAUUUUUUUAACAAUAUAUAAUAAUAUAAAAUAUUAUAAUAAUAUAUAAUUUUUAUUAUUUUUAUUUAUAUAAUUUAUAUAAAUUAUUUAUUAGUUUUUUUAUACAAAGUUCUUUCCCACCAAUCAAAAUUAAGAUAAUAAAUGUUUCAAUUCAUAAUGUUAAUGUAAAAAAAAAAGUAAGUAUAAAAAGUACAUAUUUACAUAUUCACUUAACACUUUACAAUAAUGUCCCAUUAGGUAAUGUUGGUUACAAAUAUUUCAUACAGAAAAGCAAUGCAUAAACAUACAAAUGAAUGGUGAUUGGAAAAAAAAAAAAAUAUCACAUUUUUAAUACAAAAAACAAGUUUUGAAAAAUGGACACUUGUUUAAGGCAGACCAUUCCAAAGAGAUGGGAUGAUUUCACAUAUAUUAGUUAAUAAAGUCUUCACUUUCUUUAUCUUCUCUUAACACCAGCUUUAUUUCAGAGGGAGGUUAGAGGGGUUUCCUCCUGAGACCGGAGAGGAACAGAUUGUGGAAUUACUAUUGGGCUACAGGAGUACUGGACCUACAGGCUUCUGGCACAUGAAGAGUCACUGGAGCAUAUGUCGCCAGCACGAUUCAUUCAUUUAAAUUUAUGGAGUGGAAGUGGGCCAGGUAGCGCACCACAGUGACUGUCAACAGCACCUCCAUCUUCACAAACUUCACGUACACCGGUCCCAUCAUCCUACCAUAUGUCCCGCGAAACACAAUUUCUAAUGGACAAGGACAGCUGUAUCAGGUAAUCAAGUGGGACCUUUCACUGCAAACCAAUCAGUCUCAGUGAGCCCUAUUUGAGCAGCAUUAGCCAUCCUUCCCCUGAGCAUUACAUCAUUCUGAGGGACAACCGAGCCAAUCAACAGCCUGGCAGGAUUACACAGCAUAUGGGCAUGUCCUGACUGUGUUGGAGAACUAAACAGAGCAGCAUGAACAUUCUGCUUAACAUCUCUUAUUUCUCACUGGAAGAAGAAAGUCAUACAGGGUUGGAACAACAUGAAGUUCAACUGUCAGUGGUGAAAUGGUGUGUGGGUGUCCGACGCAGUAAUGGGUCAAUCACUCCGAAAAAAGACUUCUUCUUCUGUCUGAGCACAGAGGAGAACUGUUCUCACCUAAUGUUGUGAAGGUAAUGAUACACUGCACUUCAAUGAUGGUACUGGGUUACAUAAUGAUACAAUAAUGACAAUGACUUUUCAGAAACUCAAAGAAACCAGGUUGAAUAGAGAAACAUGUCUUCAGUAAACUUAAAAAGACAGAGCUGAAUGGAGACCUUAUUUCAAAGAAAGGAUUAUUAUAUCAUAACAGCACACUUCUUUGAAGAAAUAUAAGACGGUGACACAAAGUUGACUCUUGUUAUUAAGUAAUCUUCCACUGUGCACAAUGUAGAAGCUGAAUUUAACCAAUUAGACACAAACUUUUAACAAUACAACAGAACAAGUAACUGAUUCUAGAACUGAUGUUAUCGAUGUUAUAUUUUUCAUAUUGCUCCUUUGGCAAGAUUUUGUGAUUUAUAUAACACUUGUAAGCAUUAAUGUUCUCUGUGAUUCAUCCGUGAGUUUUGCUGUCCUCACAUUAUUUGGGGGCUGGUGUUUCACAUGUUCAGAAAAGUGUGUGUAUUAUGGUUAUUUAUUUAUUAUUUUUCUCUGGAGCUGACAGGCAGAGAUAGAGCAUGAAUCAUGUUCUGCCUACUCUCAGACAGCAGUGAUAAUAUCGGCGUGCUGAUGCAAAGUGACCGGCAAGCACAUAGCACUUUCACACCAUCAGUCAUGUUCCCGUAGCAACAUGAUAAUGCAGGAAUAACAUUGAACAAACAAUGUUGGAACUAUGUGUUGGCGUGGGAGGGCAGGGCUAAAAAAAAGUCCCCACAAGAGAGCUGUUGAUUAUACGUAGAAAUGUGUGGGAAAUUAAUCAAGUCGUGUAAUGACUGAACUUCUUAUAUAUUGAUAAAUUUAUUUGCAGUGUGCCAUUGUUUCAGUUUCCAGUGGCCAGCUGUUUCACUUAUAAGGUACUAAAUUAGUACUCUGGUUUUACCAUGGUUGUGUGGGUAUUCAUCAAUUACCCUUUAAAAUGAUAUACAGGAAUAUUAAUUUUACUUAAUUUAGUAUACAUAUACACUACUGUUAUAAAAAUUCGAGCUCACUAUGAUACUUGUUUUUUUUUUAAGAAAUUAAUACCUUAAGUAAGGAUGCAUUCAGUCAAAAGUGAGAGUAAAGACAUUUGUAAUGUUACAAAUGUUAAAAAUGUUUUUAAAAUAUAUUUACAAUAAAUGCUGUUCUUUUGAACUUUCUAUUCA